UCUUGCGCAAAGGGCGAAAGCCUGACGCAGCGACGCCGCGUGCGGGACGAAGGCCUUCGGGUUGUAAACCGCUUUCAGCAGGGACGAAGCGAAAGUGACGGUACCUGCAGAAGAAGGUCCGGCCAACUACGUGCCAGCAGCCGCGGUAAUACGUAGGGACCGAGCGUUGUCCGGAUUCAUUGGGCGUAAAGAGCUCGUAGGCGGCCACUCAAGUCGAAUGUGAAACCUCGAGGCUUAACCUCGAGCCUGCAUUCGAUACUGGGCGGCUAGAGUCUGGUAGGGGGAUCUGGAAUUCCUGGUGUAGCGGUGGAAUGCGCAGAUAUCAGGAGGAACACCGGUGGCGAAGGCGGGAUCCUGGGCCAGUACUGACGCUGAGGAGCGAAAGCGUGGGGAGCAAACAGGAUUAGAUACCCUGGUAGUCCACGCCGUAAACGAUGGGCGCUAGGUGUGGGAGGUCAUCGACUCCUUCCGUGCCGCAGCUAACGCAUUAAGCGCCCCGCCUGGGGAGUACGGCCGCAAGGCUAAAACUCAAAGGAAUUGACGGGGGCCCGCACAAGCGGCGGAGCAUGUUGCUUAAUUCGACGCGACGCGAAGAACCUUACCAGGGCUUGACAUGUAGGGAAAAGCCGUGGAGACACGGUGUCCGCAAGGGCCCUACACAGGUGUUGCAUGGCUGUCGUCAGCUCGUGUCGUGAGAUGUUGGGUUAAGUCCCGCAACGAGCGCAACCCUUGUCCUAUGUUGCCAGCGGUUCAAGCCGGGGACUCAUAGGAGACUGCCGGGGUCAACUCGGAGGAAGGUGGGGACGACGUCAAGUCAUCAUGGCCCUUAUGUCCUGGGCUGCAAACAUGCUACAAUGGCCGGUACAGAGGGCUGCAAACCCGCGAGGGGGAGCCAAUCCCAAAAAGCCGGUCUCAGUUCGGAUCGGGGUCUGCAACUCGACCCCGUGAAGUCGGAGUCGCUAGUAAUCGCGAAUCAGCAACGUCGCGGUGAAUACGUUCCCGGGCCUUGUACACACCGCCCGUCACAUCACAAAAGUCGGUAACACCCGAAGCCAGUGGCCCAACCCUUUGGGAGGGAGCUGUCGAAGGUGGGAUCGGCGAUUGGGACGAAGUCGUAACAAGGUAACC
rnacentral:rRNA from 1 species